rnacentral:rRNA from 1 species
GAUGAACGCUGGCGGCGUGCCUAAUACAUGCAAGUCGAGCGAAUGGAUUAAGAGCUUGCUCUUAUGAAGUUAGCGGCGGACGGGUGAGUAACACGUGGGUAACCUGCCCAUAAGACUGGGAUAACUCCGGGAAACCGGGGCUAAUACCGGAUAACAUUUUGAACCGCAUGGUUCGAGAUUGAAAGGCGGCUUCGGCUGUCACUUAUGGAUGGACCCGCGUCGCAUUAGCUAGUUGGUGAGGUAACGGCUCACCAAGGCAACGAUGCGUAGCCGACCUGAGAGGGUGAUCGGCCAAACUGGGACGGAGACACGGCCCAGACUCCUACGGGAGGCAGCAGUAGGGAAUCUUCCGCAAUGGACGAAAGUCUGACGGAGCAACGCCGCGUGAGUGAUGAAGGCUUUCGGGUCGUAAAACUCUGUUGUUAGGGAAGAACAAGUGCUAGUUGAAUAAGCUGGCACCUUGACGGUACCUAACCAGAAAGCCACGGCUAACUACGUGCCAGCCGCCGCCGUAA